rnacentral:rRNA from 1 species
UACGGGGGGGGCAAGCGUUGUUCGGAAUUACUGGGCGUAAAGGGCUCGUAGGCGGCCAACUAAGUCAGACGUGAAAUCCCCAGGCUCAACCUGGGAACUGCGUCUGAUACUGGAUGGCUUGAAUCCGGGAGAGGGAUGCGGAAUUCCAGGUGUAGCGGUGAAAUGCGUAGAUAUCUGGAGGAACACCGGUGGCGAAGGCGGCAUCCUGGACCAACACUGACGCUGAGUGAGCGAAAGCCAGGGGAGCAAACGGG